rnacentral:rRNA from 1 species
AGUGAACGCUGGCGGUAGGCCUAACACAUGCAAGUCGAACGGCAGCACAGUAAGAGCUUGCUCUUACGGGUGGCGAGUGGCGGACGGGUGAGGAAUACAUCGGAAUCUACUUUUUCGUGGGGGUUAACGUAGGGAAACUUACGCUAAUACCGCAUACGACCUACGGGUGAAAGCAGGGGACUUUCGGACCUUGCGCGAUUGAAUGAGCCGAUGUCGGAUUUGCUAGUUGGCGGGGUCAAGGCCCACCAAGGCGACGAUCCGUAGCUGGUCUGAGAGGCUGAUCAGCCACACUGGAACUGAGACACGGUCCAGACUCCUACGGGAGGCAGCCGUGGGGAAUAUUGGACAAUGGGCGCAAGCCUGAUCCAGCCAUACCGCGUGGGUGAAGAAGGCCUUCGGGUUGUAAAGCCCUUUUGUUGGGAAAGAACAGCAGCAGGUUAAUACCCCGCUGUUCUGACGGUACCCAAAGAAUAAGCACCGGCUAACUUCGUG